rnacentral:rRNA from 1 species
AGCAGCCGCGGUAAUUCCAGCUCCAAUAGCGUAUAUUAAAGUUGCUGCAGUUAAAAAGCUCGUAGUUGAAUUUCGGGAUCAAUAUGUUGGUCGUGCCUUGGUACGUACUAGCUUAUUGAUUUCUCCUUUCUGACGAACCAUGAUGUCAUUAAUUUGGUGUCAUGGGGAAUCAGGACUGUUACUUUGAAAAAAUUAGAGUGUUUAAAGCAGGCUCGCGCUUGAAUACAUUAGCGUGGAAUAAUGAAAUAGGACAUUUGAUUCUAUUUUGUUGGUUUCUAGGAUCGAUGUAAUGAUUAAUAGGGAUAGUUGGGGGCAUUAGUAUUCAAUUGUCAGAGGUGAAAUUCUUGGAUUUAUUGAAGACUAACUACUGCGAAAGCAUUUGCCAAGGAUGUUUUCAUUAAUCAAGAACGAAAGUUAGGGGAUCGAAGACGAUCAGAUACCGUCGUAGUCUUAACCAUAAACUAUGCCGACUAGGGAUCGGAUGAUGUUAAUUUUUUAAUGACUCA